rnacentral:tRNA from 1 species
GGAGAGUGGCGGAGCGCCUUAAUGCACCGGACUGUAAAUCCGGUAGACCGACUAGCUUCACCGGCAACCUGGGUCUCGUGGGUUGGAAUCCCACCGUCUCCA